UACACCAAUUUACUUCAGUCUGUUUAAAAAUAAUAAAAAAAAGAGAGGAACGAGAAUAAAUCACCAGAAGUUAUCAAUUUCAAUGAGUUUAAGACUAUAUAUCAAAAAAUAUACAAGAGAACUUCUCGCAUCCACUUGGAUCAUCUAAGAGCAGAUAUACACCAAUUUAUUCGGAACGUCACUAACCCAUCCAGAACUGACCACCCUUAACUAGAGGAAUCAUUGCAAAUUGUGUAGAGUUAACUGGAACACCUACUUGGUUCCAGGAACGCUUACAGAGUUCGAACAGUACUGGUUGACUUGGUACAUGUCACGAUGAUUUCAAGGAGUUCUAAGGGAUUAGCGAAAUCUAAUCUAAUGAGACGGUUCAUGAUUCUCGUUGUUCCUUGCCAGGUGCAUUCAAUUCAGUUCUGAGAAUACCGAUUGUUUCCAGCCUAAUAAGACUAACCAAUCGAUGGAGCUUGCCAAGAAUUUACAUAUAUUACAACGACUUGUGUGGAAACCUGUGUGAAUGAUCACGUCACACGUUUGAAGAUUCGAACACCUUCGUCCGAAGGCUCCCCUCUAAAUGGAAGUCAGCCUUAUUAUUCUUACUAUAUUAUCACUGUGAUAUGGCGAUUUUAUGUCGCUUUAGGCAUGUAUAAAGCCAAAGAGACGAGAUUCUAUCCGUUUGUUUAUAACGGAAGACCAGAAAAAUAUAAUGGGAUCGGACAAACUUGAACACGAGAUAUUAAUUUCUACGUACACGUAUU